CCCUUACGAUCAUCGAAGUUAAGUGACAUCGAGCCUGAUCAGUACCUAGAUGGUUGACCACUUGGGAAUACGAGGUGCUGUAAG